rnacentral:misc_RNA from 1 species
GAUGAAGAACGCAGCGAAAUGCGAUAAGUAGUGUGAAUUGCAGAAUUCAGUGAAUCAUCGAAUCUUUGAACGCACAUUGCGCCCCUUGGUAUUCCAUGGGGCAUGCCUGUUCGAGCGUCAUUUGUACCUUCAAGCUUUGCUUGGUGUUGGGUGUUUGUCUCGCCUUUGCGUGUAGACUCGCCUUAAAAUAAUUGGCAGCCGGCGUAUUGAUUUCGGAGCGCAGUACAUCUCGCGCUUGCACUCAUAACGACAGCGUCCAAAAGUACAUUUUACACUCUUGACCUCGGAUCAGGUAGGGAUACCCGCUGAACUUAAGCAUAUCAAUAAGCGGAGGA